rnacentral:lncRNA from 1 species
AACAGCAAGUUUUACCCCAAUUCUGCUUUUACUAGACUUCCUCGAAUGAUCAGAAGGAUGGAGUGAAAAUUUUGCACACCCCGUUAUGAAUAUAUUUACAAUCUAUAUUCUUUUUUUUUUUAUAGUUAAAUAACAAAAUUAAAAUUAUGGAAAAUUACCUAAAUACCCAAAAAUAGCUAAAACAAUGUCCAAUCCAAUAAAAAAAAAAAUUCUAUUGCCCAUAUCAAUAAUUCUUAACAAAAAUACAUUUUCACUAUUUUUAGUAAUAACACCACCUCGUUUUUUUACAUAUCAAAAUUCAACUUUCUCUCUCUCUCCUCUCUCAGAUGUGAAUUUGNNNNNNNNNNNNNNNNNNNNCAAUAAUUCUUAACAAAAAUACAUUUUCACUAUUUUUAGUAAUAACACCACCUCGUUUUUUACAUAUCAAAAUUCAACUUUCUCUCUCUCUCCUCUCUCAGAUGUGAAUUUGAAUUCACUUGCUGGCGAAGCACCGGCGACCUGAAGCACUUGCGAAGCACUGCACCGGUGACCAGGCCUCAAUGCCGACAAGGCUUCUCCGAUUAGAUCUCCUCCUCCCUCUCUCUUCUAAUCUGGAAACACACACACACUCUCUCUCUCUCUCUCUCUCUCUCUCUCGGGGCAACGAGUCGUCGCCGGCAGCAAGCCAUGAGGCGGAGCUCUAAUCUCCAACUGAUUCACAGAGGAGAAGAUCCGCAACAUUUGAAAUCAUUCUGUAUCAUGCAGGUUCUUAUGAAUACAAGGCCAAAAGUUGAUGAUAGCAUAGAGCAAAAGUAGGAUCGACCAGGUAAUUACAAGAGCUCAGAUUGAAGCAUAAAUGAGAUGUUUGGAUUACAGAGCAAUAUAUUCGACAUUAUAGAGACCUUUUAGGACGAACAGUGAAUUAUGGCCUUGAAUUCCCCUUAGUUAUCUGUAGUUUUUGUAUGAAGAGACUCGCAUUUUAUUGCACUUUAAUCUCCUAUUAGUUUUUGUAAAAGUAAUAAAUGUAAUUUUAUUACUAGUGGUCAUAAUUCUUAUCUCUUCCUUUUUUCUUAUUCUUCAUCAAUCUUCUUUGUUUCUUUUAUGUUUUGACUGAUUAUCGGUGGUUUGUAACAUGAUUAUUAGGGGUCAAUAAUUGCUUUCUGGGGUUAGUAACUGAUUAUUAGGAGUCAGUAACUAAGUUAUUGGGGGUCAGUAACUGAUUAUUGGGGGUCAGUAACCCAGUCACCGGUGGCCGGAAUCCGGCAAUCGGAGAAAUCCGACGACCAGUGACCGGAGUCCAGUGAGAUUUCGGCCAAGUAUUUUCUCUCUCUCUCUCUCUCUCUCUCUCUCUCUAUGCAUGUUUAAGGGGUGAGGCCAAAAUAGUCUUAAAAUAAUAAGGUUUGUUAAGACUUUAGUAAAGAUUUAUGCACUUGGGCAUAAAAAAUGUUAUCUUACAUUGAAAUUGGCUAAUGAAAAAGAUUGUCAUUGUAAUGAGAAAUGAGGGGUUUAAAUUAAUACUAAAUGGACAUUUUCCCUAAAAUUAUUAUAUGAGGAAAAAAAGAGUGUGGAUUGUAAAUACGGGAGUGCAAAUUUCAAUCCCCUUGAAAAAAUGACCAGUUCAAGAUUUAAACCAAUUAAUUAUGUAGGGAAUGAAAGUUGCAAAAUUAAUUCCUGAGAGAAUUCAUGUCUUCACUUAUUUUUUUUUCUUUUGAGGAAAAAUUCAUGUAUUUACUUACAAAUCAAGGAAUUUGAAUUGAUGUGGGUCUCCACUACUUAUCAAGAAAGAAUUAAUCCCUGACAAACCCCUAACUUGAUACCUAAAAGGAUAUAAGUUUUAGGAAUCAAAUUUUUCCACCUAAAAUACCCUCACGUGAUUUCAAUAUCUCCAAAUAUACAUAGGAUAAAUUGCUCAAAAACUAUCCAAACUUUGCUUGACUAUUAAGUAUUAACUUUCGUAACCCAACUUUACUAAACCCAAUAUCAAAAUUGAAUAUGAAAUUUCAACCACGACCCACUUUUUUUAUCUGAAACACUACUAAUGACUUUAACCCGGCCCGUUAACUUUCUAAUAUUUUCAUUCUUUCGGUAUC